AAGGGCCGCGGUAUUUUUGACCGUGCGAAGGUAGCAUAAUCAUUAGUCUUUUAAUUGAAGGCUUGAAUGAAUGGUUGGACGAAAAACACACUGUUUGGAUAAAAAUUUGAAUUUAACUUUUAAGUGAAAAGGCUUGAAUGAAUUAAAAAGACGAUAAGACCCUAUAAAUCUUUACAUUUUAUUUUAUUUUUUAAAUUUAUUAAAAAGAGUAUAAAAAAUAGUUGUGUUGGGGCAACAAUUAUAUAAUAAGAUUAGCUGUUGGUAUGAUUGAACAAAUAGUUUGUUGUUGAUCCUUUUUAGAGAUUUAAAGAUUAAGUUACUUUAGGGAUAACAGCGUUAUUUUUUCUGAGAGUUCUUAUCGAAGAAAAAGAUUGCGACCUCGAUGUUGAAUUAAAAGAUCUUUUUGAUGUAGCAGUU
rnacentral:rRNA from 1 species